rnacentral:snoRNA from 1 species
AAAUCAGGUGAUGAGAAAAAAACUGCAACAAUAUGAUCGUUAAUUUUCUAUGAUUCAUUGUAUUUAAGUCUCUGAUGAUU